UACGGAGGGUGCGAGCGUUGUCCGGAAUCACUGGGCGUAAAGGGCGCGCAGGCGGCUCUGCAAGUCAGAUGUGAAAGCCCCGGGCUUAACCUGGGAACUGCAUUUGGGACUGUGGGGCUAGAGAUCGGGAGAGGAGAGUGGAAUUCCCAGUGUAGAGGUGAAAUUCGUAGAUAUCAGGAGGAACACCGGUGGCGAAGGCGGGUCUCUGGGCCGAUACUGACGCUGAGGAGCGAAAGCGUGGGGAGCGAACAGG
rnacentral:rRNA from 1 species